GCAUAGCAUAUGCUAGCAGAAGUCCCUCAGACUUCCAUGUUAUUUUUCUACUUUCCUUGUAAUGCAAACAAGCAUAAGCCUUGAAAGAUCAGUGAUGCAUAGGUAUGAUUUGGCAGCUACUUAAACAAAACCAAAACUCUGAUGGCAUUUUGCUCUUAAAAGAAAAUCCUGGUGUAUCUUGUUUUGAGGGAAUGGAAGGAAUUGUAAAUGAAAAAGUUUGGACACCAGUGCCUGGCAUUCGUGCAACAUUCUGAGAAGGAGCUGAAAGGCUCUCGAGUGCUUUUCCCUUUUAGUGUCUCUUCAUACUCUUUUUUGGUCUUUCCUUUCUGAUGUGAAAUGUUUGUCUAAUUCAGUAUCCCAAAUUACAUUUUAUAAGUGAAGUUCUUCUAAGAGCCAGUCACCAGGAAGCAUCCACUUUAAUUCAGAGCUGGAAUAUGAAAUCAUACAGUUAGAACAGUACAACGGUAAGUCUUUAAUUUAAUGUAUAAUCCUUGCAAAUCUUCUAGGGCCCAGAGCUCACAAGUUUGUUAUUGUGACUAUCACAAAGAAUAAUGUGGAAAAAGAAGUACACUAUUGUGUGGGAAUAUUCUCAAGGCAACAGGGUCCACAUGUAGUAGAGUUCUAUGUUUGAUGUGGCUCGGUUUAGUUCUUUUACUGUAGUACUUUGCUUAUCUACCACUGCUCCCAUUCCCUGUUUAAUAUUAAUCUCCAGUAUUUGACUGUGAGAAAAUACUAAAGCUCUGAUCAAAAAAUGUUUUUUUUUUUAAUCCAGUAAAAUUGUUUCUUUUGAGUCAUAAAACAGUUCUAAAUGUUGAUUUUCCCAUUAUUACCUGUUUACUUAAUUUCUCAGUAACUCACCAAAAGCCCCGUCAACUGUAGAUGCUGUGUUUCACCAUCACUCUUGGGCCCAGGCUGAGACCAGAGAACACGUCCUGCUGUCAACUGUCCAUGGUUUUGCUUGCUUUGUGUUUGACUCUGGCUUGGAGCUCAGGCUCCAGCUCAUCUCAGCACUGUCCUUUCCAAAGGCAGCUUGGAGCAGCAGGCUGCAGGCUGGCCAAGACAUGGCAGCUUCCACAGUUAUCUCACCUUAGCCAAAAACAGCACCAGAUUGUGAAUUGUCCUGCUAUGCUCCACCAGUGAAAAGGGCUAAUUUUUUUUGUGGAUAUGUUAUGGCUGUGGGCAAGAUGAGGGAAGAACACACUGUCUCAGCAAGCAGACAGCAAUUAAAGACUCUUCCUCUCAGAAAUACAGCGACAGAGAAACACUGGUAAAAUUCAGAUUUAGUCUGGACUCAAUUGCUCUGUCUAUGGCUGCUCCUAUGGGUAUUACAGUUCUGGAAAUACCAGGUUCCCAUUCUGGAGCAGCAGAGCACCAAGGUCUAAUGGAGCUGGCAGGAGUCAUUUCUGUGCUUGAGUACACACUGGUCUGCCCCCUUCACUCCUUGCCCUCAUGGAUUUGAACUGCCUUCAUAAAGAGAAAUGUGCUUUGUUUUUAAUGGUUAUAUGUGACAAUUACAAUUUCUCUUCUUUUAUCAAAAAUACAUCAUUAUUGUCAAGAAUGGGUCAUUUUAUUCACAGCAUUAUAGCUUAAAUAAAAUGUAAAGUCACUAAAAAACACUGAAGCCCUUAUAAGUACCCUUAUUCUAUUAAGCAAAUUGGAAAUAUUAGCAUUUACUGGUUCUCCAAAGGGCUAUUGCGUUCAUGAACAAGAAUCUUCAUCUUAAUAUUUCUCUUCCCACUAAAUUAAAAAUGACAGUAGAUGCAGAGCAUGUAUUGCUACAGACUGUAGCUCUAUGGAAAACUUAGCAUGAUUUCAGAGCUGCAAGCUUAUCUGCUUAAGGACAUUACUAAGAAACCAGAUGGAGGAUAAUUUCCCAAAGCUAACCAUCUGGACCCUGCAAUGAUACACUCUGCCCUAAGCAUUACUCUGGGAAUUGACUUCAUGGUGGGAAAAAAAGCAGUGAAAAAAGGACAAGUGGAGAAAGAAAGUACAUUGUAUUUUACAUUACAAAAUUUGAACCCAAAGAGGCACCAUUUUGGAACAUACUGCAGUUUACUCAUUUUUGUGGUAUAAUCUGUGGGAAAAAGGGAAGAGAAAAUGAGAGUUUAAUGGUUAAUAUAGCAUCAUAGUGAGCUACAUUAGAAAGUAGAGAUGGUAUAUUGUUGUUUUUUUUUUUGUGGAAUUUUGAUUGAAUCAUUAGAAGUCAAGAUGCAAAUGAGUAGUGUAAUGUUUUCUGUUAGAACUGCUGUUUUUUUUUUUACACAGAUUCAUUAUUUUAGGUCUGCUAGGUUAUUUUAUGGAGUUCUGCACUUCAGGUAUUCCAGCCAGGUCUGUGUCCCCAGCUGAGAACUCCAGUGGUUUGCGUAGAAAGGUAAGAAAUACAGCAUGUUCCAUGAGGUUUGUGGAGAACACCAAAUGCCUGUUAACCAGAUCAGGUCAAAGCAAAACUCAAAUGAGUGCAUUUUCUGAAUGUUUCUACUGUAUGAUCUUAAGAUGAAAUUAAUUGGUGAAAGAUUUCAGGUGUCAGAUACACCAGCACUCUUGGGACCAGAAGAUCUAAUGAAAGUUAUUUAUCUUUGAUGGUCAUGGGGGUCUACAACCUAUCUUAUUGGAUGCAAUCUUUAGCUGAAAUUUUCUACGAUGAUAAGGCAUUUGGGUUUGUUGUUGUUUCUCCUGCUAUGAUGGUUUUCAGCAUCUCUGAGUGUCAGCUUUUGUUAUGGGCUUUUCUCUGCCAACGCAGUUAUGGGAUAUUUUCCUACAGGGUAUUCAACUGCUUUUGCUUAGCCUGUAGGAACUUACUGGAGACUUUUUUAACUUUUGACACAUUUUGAAUGAAAUUUGCCAAUGAUUUUUCUUUCAUUAGAAAAUUUGGCUAAUACUGUAGAUUAAAAUAAAUAACAGCAAUAAACUUGAUUCAUGUUGAAGUUCUACUACAUGUUGCAAAACUCAUAUCGCAGGUUAGCUCUAAUGCACUCUGUUAUAGCGUGAGCCUUGUAACAAGCUACCUAUUAUCGCUGAGAAAAUGUCAUCAGCUUCCAUCAAAUGUGAGGAUCUUAUCUAGGGCUUCCAACUGUAGCUCACUUUUUUGUGUGUGUGACAGAUUUAGAACAGUAUGAAGGUGUUAUAAAAACCCAGAGAGCCAUCCAUUCAGCACGUUUUUAGAUGGAAUCCUUAGAAAGAAAUAAAAUGUUUUUAAAUUUUCAUUCCCUUUACCUAGCUAGAGCUGUUGAUUGUUUCUGAUAUGUUUAUGUUACAGCUGUUCUGUAAAGACAGACAAAAUGCUCUGUAAUGGUUUUCAAAAGUUCCAUAACAUUUUUCUUCAGCCUGGCACUGUUUAUAUGUUGUCUUGUCUGCUUAUUGCAUCAGGAUGUCCAGAAGAAAAUAACACAGGCAGAAUUGGAUGUCAGGUAAUCAUCAGUAUGAAAAUGGUUUUUUGUUUGUUUGUUUUUUAAUUUCCCUGAAGAAAAUCUACUUGGGAAAAUCAGUAGCAAAACUUUUUUGUCAGUGAAUGUCACUGCUGUGAAACCGGUGCUUUGGUUAAUGUUGAAAUUGGCUUCAGGUGUUAAUGGCAUGAAAUAGCUUACAGAAGAACAUAACACAAGCCUUCUCCAGCUCUUAAUUUACUUUCAUAUGAGAGUACAAGCAAGAGAAAUAGUGCUGAAAACACAGAACUUAUCUUUCUCUACUCAUCGCUCCUUUUCUUCAUCAGUGUUGCUCUGAAGAACUGUUGGUUUAGCAAUUGGGGUGAGAGGACCGUUGUCCCUUAAACACCUGGCAUUUGGAGGCUUCUAAAGUAUACCAUGAAAAGCAAACAAAAUCUGAAGCGGGACAAACCUUCUUAAGAAGCAUUUUGUAUAAGUUGCCUUGUUGCCAAUCGUGAAUCUUCAGAACUGUCUGCCAAAUGCCUGACACUGAAGUGAUUUAAGACCUGCAUUAGAUCAGCUUCAACUGAGUGUAGCAUGCUGCCCUGGGAGGGUGACUGCUCAAUGAGCAUUCCCCUGGCUCUGAGAAGUGAGAAAAAUAAGUUCUGUUAAAAGAAAGAAUUAAUAGUAAUUUGAAUUGAGAAGCCUAAAUCCUGCCCAGACAUACACUCAGAACAAGUUCAGAGCUCAGAAUGCCGCAGUAAUGCAUAUCAAACUUUCUUUCACAUAAACUCCUCGAAACAUCAGGAUGAAAUGGUUAUCAGGAUUCUGAAGGACUAAGGUCUUCAUGUGUAGUGCUAACAGUUAAAAAGAAGGAAAAGCAACCAAAUUGCCCCUAGUCUGCUCAAGAGCCUGUCACUGCUUCCUAAG
ensembl:lncRNA